UCCUACGGGAGGCAGCAGUGGGGAAUUUUCCGCAAUGGGCGAAAGCCUGACGGAGCAACGCCGCGUGAGGGAUGAAGGCCUCUGGGCUGUAAACCUCUUUUCUCAAGGAAGAAGAUCUGACGGUACUUGAGGAAUAAGCCACGGCUAAUUCCGUGCCAGCAGCCGCGGUAAUACGGGAGUGGCAAGCGUUAUCCGGAAUUAUUGGGCGUAAAGCGUCCGUAGGCGGCUUUUCAAGUCUGCUGUUAAAACGUGGAGCUUAACUCCAUCAAGGCAGUGGAAACUGAUUGGCUUGAGUGUGGUAGGGGCAGAGGGAAUUCCCGGUGUAGCGGUGAAAUGCGUAGAUAUCGGGAAGAACACCAGUGGCGAAGGCGCUCUGCUGGGCCAUAACUGACGCUCAUGGACGAAAGCCAGGGGAGCGAAAGGGAUUAGAUACCCCUGUAGUCCUGGCCGUAAACGAUGAACACUAGGUGUCGGGGGAAUCGACCCCCUCGGUGUCGUAGCCAACGCGUUAAGUGUUCCGCCUGGGGAGUACGCACGCAAGUGUGAAACUCAAAUGAAUUGACGG
rnacentral:rRNA from 1 species